CAGGCCUAACACAUGCAAGUCGAACGAUGACUCUCUAGCUUGCUAGAGAUGAUUAGUGGCGGACGGGUGAGUAACAUUUAGGAAUAUGCCUAGUAGUGGGGGAUAGCUCGGGGAAACUCGAAUUAAUACCGCAUACGACCUACGGGUGAAAGGGGGCGCAAGCUCUUGCUAUUAGAUGAGCCUAAAUCAGAUUAGCUAGUUGGUGGGGUAAAGGCCCACCAAGGCGACGAUCUGUAACUGGUCUGAGAGGAUGAUCAGUCACACCGGAACUGAGACACGGUCCGGACUCCUACGGGAGGCAGCAGUGGGGAAUAUUGGACAAUGGGGGCAACCCUGAUCCAGCCAUGCCGCGUGUGUGAAGAAGGCCUUUUGGUUGUAAAGCACUUUAAGCAGGGAGGAGAGGCUAAUGGUUAAUACCCAUUAGAUUAGACGUUACCUGCAGAAUAAGCACCGGCUAACUCUGUGCCAGCAGCCGCGGUAAU
rnacentral:rRNA from 1 species